UACAGAGGUCUCAAGCGUUGUUCGGAUUCAUUGGGCGUAAAGGGUGCGUAGGCGGCGCGGUAAGUCGGGUGUGAAAUCUUGGAGCUUAACUCCGAAACUGCAUUCGAUACUGCCGUGCUUGAGGACUGGAGAGGAGACUGGAAUUCCCGGUGUAGCGGUGAAAUGCGCAGAUAUCGGGAGGAACACCGGUGGCGAAGGCGGUUCUCUGGGCCUUACCUGACGCUGAGGAGCGAAAGCGUGGGGAGCGAACAGG
rnacentral:rRNA from 1 species